rnacentral:rRNA from 1 species
GACAGAGGGGGCAAGCGUUGCUCGGAAUUACUGGGCGUAAAGGGCGCGUAGGCGGAAUGGCAAGUCGGUCGUGAAAUCCCACGGCUCACCCGUGGAACUGCUGGGCAUACUGGCGAUCUUGAGCCACUUAGGGGCAACCGGAACAAACGGUGGAGCGGUGAAAUGCGUAGAUAUCGUUUGGAACGCCAAUGGUGAAGACAGGUUGCUGGGAGUGUGCUGACGCUGAGACACGAAAGCCAGGGGAGCGAACGGG